UACGUAGGGAGCGAGCGUUGUCCGGAUUCAUUGGGCGUAAAGAGCUCGUAGGCGGCUUGGCAAGUCGGGUGUGAAAACUCCAGGCUCAACCUGGAGACGCCACCCGAUACUGCCAUGGCCUAGAGUCCGGUAGGGGACCACGGGAAUUCCUGGUGUAGCGGUGAAAUGCGCAGAUAUCGGGAGGAACACCGGUGGCGAAGGCGGUCUCUGGCCUGACCUGACGCUGGGAGCGAAAGCGU
rnacentral:rRNA from 1 species